AUGCCCAUACUGCCUGGACUGUCGGGAUCUUCCUGGUGUUGCUCUGUAGUUGCCAUGGUGACGGCAAGCGGUUGAACGUUGGAGUUCUCUAUGGCGAUGGCGAAGAGGGCUUACUUGCCGCGAUGACGUCUAGCGCCCGUAGCCUCAACAGCAGCAAGGACCUGACGCUGACCGGCUUUCAGCUUGAUAAAAGUACCCCAGGGUGUCCUUCCCACCUAGCUCGUGAACAGGACCGACUGCACGCCCUGAUUCUGAUGACCCCCCUCCCCUCCCACUGUACCUGCGGAGCUGCAGACGGACCACAGC